rnacentral:rRNA from 1 species
UACAGAGGUCUCAAGCGUUUGUUCGGAUUCAUUGGGCGUAAAGGGUGCGUAGGCGGCGCGGUAAGUCGGGUGUGAAAUCUCGGAGCUUAACUCCGAAACUGCAUUCGAUACUGCCGUGCUUGAGGACUGGAGAGGAGACUGGAAUUUACGGUGUAGCAGUGAAAUGCGUAGAUAUCGUAAGGAAGACCAGUGGCGAAGGCGAGUCUCUGGACAGUUACUGACGCUGAGGCACGAAGGCCAGGGGAGCAAACAGG